UACGAAGGGGGGCUAGCGUUGUUCGGAAUCACUGGGCGUAAAGCGUAUGUAGGCGGAUUGUUAAGUCAGGGGUGAAAUCCCGAGGCUCAACCUCGGAACUGCCUUUGAUACUGGCUGUCUUGAGUCCGGGAGAGGUGAGUGGAACUCCUAGUGUAGAGGUGAAAUUCGUAGAUAUUAGGAAGAACACCAGUGGCGAAGGCGGCUCACUGGCCCGGAACUGACGCUGAUGUACGAAAGCGUGGGGGAGCAAACAGGG
rnacentral:rRNA from 1 species